AGGGAGCUGUGGAAACAGUA
rnacentral:miRNA from 1 species